rnacentral:rRNA from 1 species
CCUACGGGGCGCAGCAGUGGGGAAUAUUGGACAAUGGGCGAAAGCCUGAUCCAGCCAUGCCGCGUGUGUGAAGAAGGCCUUCGGGUUGUAAAGCACUUUCAGUGGGGAAGAAAGCCUUGGGGCUAAUACCCUCGAGGAAGGACAUCACCCACAGAAGAAGCACCGGCUAACUCCGUGCCAGCAGCCGCGGUAAUACGGAGGGGGCGAGCGUUAAUCGGAAUUACUGGGCGUAAAGCGCGCGUAGGCGGUCUGAUAAGCCGGUUGUGAAAGCCCCGGGCUCAACCUGGGAACGGCAUCCGGAACUGUCAGGCUAGAGUGCAGGAGAGGAAGGUAGAAUUCCCGGUGUAGCGGUGAAAUGCGUAGAGAUCGGGAGGAAUACCAGUGGCGAAGGCGGCCUUCUGGACUGACACUGACGCUGAGGUGCGAAAGCGUGGGUAGCAAACAGGAUUAGAUACCCCGGUAGUC